rnacentral:rRNA from 1 species
UGGUGCAUGGUUGUCGUCAGCUCGUGUCGUGAGAUGUUGGGUUAAGUCCCGCAACGAGCGCAACCCCUAUUGCUAGUUACCAUCAUUAAGUUGGGGACUCUAGCGAGACUGCCAGUGAUAAACUGGAGGAAGGUGGGGAUGACGUCAAAUCAUCAUGCCCCUUAUGACCUGGGCUACAAACGUGAUACAAUGGCUGGAACAAAGGGAUGCGAAGCAGUGAUGUGGAGCGAAACCCAUAAAAACAGUCUCAGUUCGGAUUGAAGUCUGCAACUCGACUUCAUGAAGUCGGAAUCGCUAGUAAUCGCGCAUCAGCCAUGGCGCGGUGAAUACGUUCCCGGGCCUU